GUACAAUGGAUAGUGGCGGACGGGUGCGUAACACGUGGGAAUUUGCCCUUGAGUAAGGAACAACAGUUGGAAACGACUGCUAAUACCUUAUAAUAUCUCCGGAUCAAAGAUUUAUCGCUCAAGGAUAAGCCCGCGGCUGAUUAGCUUGUUGGUGAGGUAAUGGCUCACCAAGGCAACGAUCAGUAGCUGGUCUGAGAGGAUGACCAGCCACACUGGGACUGAGACACGGCCCAGACUCCUACGGGAGGCAGCAGUAAGGAAUAUUGGACAAUGGGGGCAACCCUGAUCCAGCCAUGCCGCGUGUGUGAAGAAGGCCCUAGGGUUGUAAAACUCUUUCACCCGUGAAGAUGAUGACGGUAGCGGGAGAAGAAGCUCCGGCUAACUCCGUGCCAGCAGCCGCGGUAAUACGGAGGGGGCUAGCGUUGCUCGGAAUUACUGGGCGUAAAGCGCGCGUAGGCGGUGCAUACAGUCAGGCGUGAAAUCCCCGAGCUUAACUCGGGAACUGCGUUUGAUACUGAUGUGCUAGAAUCCGAGAGAGGGUAGUGGAAUUCCCAGUGUAGAGGUGAAAUUCGUAGAUAUUGGGAAGAACACCAGUGGCGAAGGCGGCUACCUGGCUCGGUAUUGACGCUGAGGUGCGAAAGCGUGGGGAG
rnacentral:rRNA from 1 species